ACAAUCUUAUGAAAUUUUGUGGUAGUUUUCCGCAACAAGAAACACAGAUCUUUGGUUCACUGAUUGUU